CCUACGGGGGGCUGCAGUGGGGAAUAUUGGACAAUGGGGGCAACCCUGAUCCAGCCAUGCCGCGUGUGUGAAGAAGGCCCUCGGGUUGUAAAGCACUUUCAGUGAGGAAGAACGCCUGGUGGUUAAUACCCAUCAGGAAAGACAUCACUCACAGAAGAAGCACCGGCUAACUCCGUGCCAGCAGCCGCGGUAAUACGGAGGGUGCGAGCGUUAAUCGGAAUUACUGGGCGUAAAGCGCGCGUAGGUGGCUUGAUAAGCCGGUUGUGAAAGCCCCGGGCUCAACCUGGGAACGGCAUCCGGAACUGUCAAGCUAGAGUGCAGGAGAGGAAGGUAGAAUUCCCGGUGUAGCGGUGAAAUGCGUAGAGAUCGGGAGGAAUACCAGUGGCGAAGGCGGCCUUCUGGACUGACACUGACACUGAGGUGCGAAAGCGUGGGUAGCAAACAGGAUUAGAUAGCCGUGUAGUC
rnacentral:rRNA from 1 species